AUGAUCCUCAAUGCAGAAUUUGAAGCUGAUAUCAUGCAAAACAUCAACCGGAGCUCCAACACCCCCAUCUCCGUGCACCGUGUCAUGUUUGGACCCGAAGGCUGGGCGGACCUACCACAUGGAUUAUUGCACUCCAUCAUUGUCCUGUUGGGUUCAACUCGUGGCCUUCUUGCAUUCAUCGCCACCCGCCCUAGCUGGUAUGCCGCAUUCAUGUCAAUCAAAUCUACCUUAGGCAAGCUCUUCCCAACUGUUAUUUUCUGGAACCGUGCCGACCAGACAAGUUCAGCUGGCUCUAACAUUGGAAACACAUGGGAGCUCAUUGAUCCUGUAUAUCCAAGUACUCCGUUGUGUCGCUUGACCCCUCCAAGUAUUUUGGACAAAAUGGCAUUCGUCAAAUGUUCUUAUGGUCAUGCGAUUUUCUGCUACGACAGAUCCCUUGUCAUUAUGGACGUGCUCACUGGCACUAUGGUUGCAGCUCCACCUUUCCCAUUGAGUCAACUAUGCUACAUAACCUUCAUAUCUCUAGAGGAGUCACCAGAUUCAUAUCUAUUUGUCAGCAGCCCGCACUGCCUGUACGCUUGGCGAGUUGGGAGCCCCUCUUGGUUGCACUGCGAUUUUCUAAAUGCACAUUUGAUCAAGGAGAUGGUGUCCUUCAAAGGCCGGGUCAUUAUGAGGAUGCGUCAAAAACUAUACACCGUGCAUUUGGCACCUCAGUUUCAUGUUGAGGUACUAAGAGUUGAUUGCAGAGAUUAUAUGGACCCGUACGUGCUUUCCGGAAAUUUGGUGGCUUGUGAAGACACACUUCUCCUACUUGGUCGUAACGGGGAAGCCUUCUCCAUUGACUUCUCAACUGAACCUGCAAAGUAUGUGAGCAUGGAAGAGGGAGGCUUGAAGAAGUGGGCGUUCUUCUUUGGCGAGAAACGUACUGGACAGCAACGACUCUUAGUGAACCCAGAGAGAAUGGGUUUAAGGGGUGACCUUGUCUAUCAGUUGGAUGAAAACGCCCGAGUAUUUUCAUACCCAGUAGAUGGCAACCAAAAUGAGGAGUUGGAGCCAGAACCUUGUUUUGCGACGAUCAAUGCUUAUCUUGCUCGCAAUCAUACAUCCUUUGCAGCUUGGGUAUGA
rnacentral:rRNA from 1 species